rnacentral:rRNA from 1 species
UUGCACGCUGGCGGCAGGCCUCACCCAUGCAAGUCGAGCGGAUGAAGGGAGCUUGCUCCUGGAUUCAGCGGCGGACGGGUGAGUAAUGCCUAGGAAUCUGCCUGGUAGUGGGGGAUAACGUCCGGAAACGGGCGCUAAUACCGCAUACGUCCUGAGGGAGAAAGUGGGGGAUCUUCGGAUCUCACGCUAUCAGAUGAGCCUAGGUCGGAUUAGCUAGUUGGUGGGGUAAAGGCCUACCAAGGCGACGAUCCGUAACUGGUCUGAGAGGAUGAUCAGUCACACUGGAACUGAGACACGGUCCAGACUCCUACGGGAGGCAGCAGUGGGGAAUAUUGGACAAUGGGCGAAAGCCUGAUCCAGCCAUGCCGCGUGUGUGAAGAAGGUCUUCGGAUUGUAAAGCACUUUAAGUUGGGAGGAAGGGCAGUAAGUUAAUACCUUGCUGUUUUGACGUUACCAACAGAAUAAGCACCGGCUAACUUCGUG